GUCUACGGACAUGCUACCCUGAACAAGACCGAUCUGUCUGAUUUCAGAAGCUAGGCAGGGUCAGACCCGGUUAGUAUUUGCAUGGGAGACCACCUAGAAAGACCAGGUGCUGUAGGCG
rnacentral:rRNA from 1 species